UACGGAAGGGGCAAGCGUUGUUCGGAAUCAUUGGGCGUAAAGGGCGCGUAGGUGGUUCUGUAUGUCUACCGUGAAAGCAUACAGCUCAACUGUAUUUUGUCGGUAGAAACUGCAGGACUUGAGGCUGGGAGGGGCUGGUGGAAUUCCCUGUGUAGCGGUGAAAUGCGUAGAGAUGGGGGAGAACACUAGUGGCGAAGGCGGCCAGCUAGACCAGUUCUGACACUGAGGCGCGAAAGCGUGGGGAGCAAACAGG
rnacentral:rRNA from 1 species